CAUAAGCGGUUUGCAGUCUGCUUCUACAAAUGAGGAACUGGGUUUGUUUUGUCAUGCAUAAGCACCAGAGACUUUUAAUUUUCCUGACCAUAUUCACUAGCAUCCAGCUUAAGUCAGGUUUCCUGCAGCAUUAACUAGUGUCUGGUGAUUCCCAUUGUCACAAAAAUGUUGUUGUGAGGCCUCAGCAGGCUCAGUUGCCAAUUUUGUAGAGCAGAAAAUCAAAGGAAGGGCAUCUUUAUAAAUUGUGCUUAGGCUAGUUGUUGUGAUUAACGUCUUUCAUACACUGUCCAUUUUUUCAAAAUAAAGCUUUUAGAUCAACAGUUACAGCAGCCAGAUUGGAUAGAUUUUUUUCAGCCAAAUUUAUCAUUCCUGUGUACUUUCCUCCUUUUUAAGUAGAGAAAUAGUGAUAACCAUCUAUAACCCCCCAAGGCCUAGCAGGGCCCCUAGAUCAGUUCUAGUUUCCCUACAUAAGUUAAUUAUUCACCCCUACAUUUACAUCGCUUUCUGUUAAGUUCCAACCUUACACUACUGAGUCCGUGCCCAUGAUAGAGUUCCAUUAUUUAUACUUACAGCAAAAUACCAUCAGUAAACUUCAGUAUCUUCCCAUGCUUGGAUAUCCUUUUGUGAAUUAUAUGGGUGCAGAGCAUAGCCUAAAAAUUAUGGUAAAGCACUGUGUUCAGAAAGCAUAAGUUAAAAUUUCACAGACACCAUUUCCUCUUCUAAAGAAAUUUUCCACAAGCCAUUUGAAGUACUUAGGGUGAGAUGAGAGGGAGGGAAGCAAAAUACAUUUAUUAAGAAAUGCCUUUCCUGGUAGAUAUGUGGAGUUCUGUAGAAAGAUUUUGGCCCAGCCCCUUGGGAGGCAGGUGUAGGUAAAGAUUUUCCAUUUUCUUUGCUGGAGCUGGUAAAGACCCCUUCUAAAAGGUGCAUCAGUGCUCUCUGCUAGACUCAGAGCAAGAAGUCUAAUUUCUUCCUUAAGUUUUCAUCUAAGUACACUUCUAAGUAUGUGUUGGCUCAUGUAUAACAGGGAAAUUGAGUUCUGUUAACUGUAUUUUGUAUUCCAUUGAUAGCUUUUCUAUGCCAUUAAAAACAUCUGAGAAUAUAAUUUCUACCUUUUAAUGGCUUCUGUCCUCCUACUGUAUUCACUUUCUUAACAACCUAAUAUCUGGCAUUUUCACCCCUUGAGUAAGUACUCCCUUUCCUGAAAAUGUUUUAUAAGAAAACAGUUAUAAAUGUUAUUUCUUCAAGAUUUUGUUAUACUUUCACAUGGAGUUCGUAUCCACACAUAAAGUUUUGAUUUUAUUCUAGUGUCAUCAAAGAAAGCUUUUAUCAAUUUUUUUCCUAUAACAGGUUUUUCUUUUCAAAACCAUUUCUGUAACGUCAGCUAACUAGUAGCCUAUACACACUCUGAGUGUGAGAAUAACUUAUGCACCAAAAUCUAACCUAUAAAAACAUAGUAUUUCGGGUACUGGUUCUAGAUAUAUAUGAAAAGUCCCACAACAUUUUCCUGUUUUCCUUUUCACAGUAUGUGCAUGAGCAAUCGGGGGGGGGGGGGGGGGUGUCUGCUGUUGUUCUGGGGUUUGACUAUGCCAAAGCCUUGCUAAAGCCAAGGUAUACAACAUCCAUUUCCUUUCCACUUCUUUUGUCCACAGGGCUGGUCACCUUGCCAGAGAAGGUUGGUCAUCAUCUUUUGCCUUUGGUAAAUCUAUCCUGGCUGCUCCAGGUCACUUUAUUGCUCUUCGCAUGCCUGGAAAUGGCUUCUAUGAGGAUUUGCUCCGUAACUUUUCCAGGGACCAAAGUAAGCUAAUUGAUAUGGACCAUCCUCCUUGCCUCCUUCUCGCAGAGUGGUGCGGUAUGUACCUUCCAGUGAUCAGGAAUCUCCACUGACUGCCAUGACCUUUUGAAGAGGACAAAGAGUAGCCUCACAAUGAUGUUGGGCUGCUCCUUCAGCACCCUCAGACACAUCUGCUCUGGCCCAUGGAGUUCUGUAUAUCCAAGCAAAAAUCUUUCUUAUUGCUCUUCAAGACUUCUCAGACUGUCUAAUCUGGAGCCUGUGUAGAGAGGAAGAAACCCAGUGUGCACAACAGCACUGGGAUGCUGCUGGGACUUAACUCCUUCAAGACAAUAGUGGCCGAAGGGAAUUUUCUGCCUGAGAUCGCUCACAGGCAGACAGAGGGCAAUGUAACAUUGCUGGUUUUGAAGCUAAGCAUAAUAUUUGAGCAUUUUUCAGAAACAAGACUUACUUACACAAUGCACAAAGGAAAAACAUACUUUUGUUGUGCAGCAGAGUGCAUGUAUUGUGUGCUUUACAUUAGAAAGAAAGCAAGUUCCUUCAGUGAUCCACCUACCAUCAUGAGGUUAAAAGAGUUCAAUUGAAUCUCUUGUCAAGCUGUUCCCCAGGGUGUUUAAUUCAUCACAGUUAAAGGGUGGAUAAGAUUCUGUAAUAAUGAAAAAGUUUGAAAAGCUUCAUGUGAGGUUAAAAUCCCAUGUUGCAUAAAAAGUGCUAGUGCAGCAGUAACCUCAGAUACAGUUUUGUCUAUUUGCUCUGCUAUUUUUCCUCCAGAUGAGACUUACCCAUCCAUUGCAUUUUACACUCUAGCUCGGUACCAUUUUGCUCCUGGCAGCAGGCAAAUAUGUCCUCAUUAAGUAAAAUUUAUGCUAAUACCAUUCUGAUUAGCCAGCAGUCAUUGAUAUUCACUCUCAUUAGCUAAAUUGGUUCGCUGGAAGACAUCCCACCAAGGAUUUUUUUUUCUGUUUUAAGUGGAAUAUAAAAUGUAUGGAUUUGCAGAGAUGACAGAUGAUGAUAAUUAUACCCUGUGUUUACUUGAGCAGAGGUUUUUAUUCUAAAGGCUCCCAAAGUACUUUUCAGCAUUUACAUCUGCAAGGAGAGAGAAGACUCUUUUUUUCUCCUUUUCAGAAAGAGCCUCUGUCAGAAAUACAGAAGCCAUUCUGGUUUCACUGUUAUUAGACAGAUUGCACAAAGGAAUCUUCCAUUCUGAAUUCAGGAGCACUUUUUAAUGAGACAGAAUGCAGGUCAGUUCCUAGGAAAUCUAGCUGGGGAAUAAACUCAAUUCAUGCGUUAAUGGGACUUUCUACAUGCAAUCUUUUUGGAGUAACCUUGCGAGUCUGACUUAACAUCUCUGGGAGUUUUGCCUGCAGUAAGAUUGCAAAAUUAACCUUGGUGUGAAUCUUUCAUCAAAAUUACAAAGAUUCUGUCAGCUCAUCCGUGAAUGUUUUGGUUGAGAGGACCAAUAAUUUCAGCUGAGAAAUUGAUUAUGUUUUCUUGUGUUGAAACAUAAAUGAUAUGAUGGUGUGAUGAAUUAUCAUCCAUUUUCUGUUAGCUCUCUUAAAGUGCUUUUGUUAUGCAGGGAUGAUCAAGUAGGAAACUGGUUUUGCCAAUGUGUGACAAUCUUGUCAUUAACAUUAUUAAGGCUAAAAAUAUGUUUCUUUGCAUCACAGCCUCCAUUUCAAGUGCAAGAUGGAAAGCAGUGGUCUUAACACCUUACAUUCUUACUUAUAUUUUUAAAAAAUCUCAGUAGAUGCCUAUCUCUAUAUGCAGGCAUAUCUGUCCUUUAGAAACUCUGCUCCUAUAUUCUUCUAAUAAAGCUCUGACUAUCUUUAAGUAUUG